GACGAACGCUGGCGGCGUGCUUAACACAUGCAAGUCGAACGGACAGGCCCUGCUUUUGUGGGGUUCUCGAGUGGCGAACGGGUGAGUAACACGUGAGUAACCUGCCCUUGACUUUGGUAUAACUUCAGGAAACUGGGGCUAAUACCGGAUAGGAGCUCCUGCUGCAUGGUGGUGGUUGGAAAGUUUCGGCGGUUGGGGAUGGACUCGCGGCUUAUCAGCUUGUUGGUGGGGUAGUGGCUUACCAAGGCUUUGACGGGUAGCCUGCCUGAGAGGGUGACCGGCCACAUUAGGACUGAGAUACGGACCAGACUCCUACGGGAGGCAGCAGUGGAGAAUAUUGCAGAAUGGGCGGACGCCUGAUGCAGCAACGUCGCGUGCGGGAUGCCGGCCUUCGAGUUGUAAACCGCUUUCGCCUGUGCUGAAGCGUGAGUGACGGUAAUGGGUAAAGAAGCACCGGCUAACUACGUG
rnacentral:rRNA from 1 species